UACGUAGGCAGCGAGCGUUGUUCGGAGUUACUGGGCGUAAAGCGUGCGUAGGCGGUGUCUUAAGUUUGUUGUGAAAUCUCCCGGCUUAACCGGGAGGGUGCGGCGAAUACUGAGAUGCUGGAGUGCCGGAGAGGUAAGCGGAAUUCCUGGUGUAGCGGUGAAAUGCGUAGAGAUCAGGAGGAACACCUGUGGUGUAGACAGCUUACUGGACGGUGACUGACGCUGAGGCACGAAAGCGUGGGUAGCAAACAGG
rnacentral:rRNA from 1 species